rnacentral:lncRNA from 1 species
GGAAAAGAUCAAGAGCUGCAAAUGCUCCUGAAUACACACCAAGGCCAUGACAGGACCACAGAAUUUUGGAAGUUUUAGUCAUUGUCUCUGGAGAAGAUCAAUAGAAAAAGUGUUGUAUUUUAUGGCUGUCUUGAAGAGAAUUUCUGGACACCUGUUCUGGCAUGCUUCCACCCAUCUUUAAGGAAUGUGAUUCUCAGUUUGAACUGGUUAAAACUUUGAAGCUAGCAGGCAGUUGGGGACAGUGACUUUGUCCACAACAAAUCCUAUAUAUUAGUCAGCUCAGGCCACCAUAACGAGAUACCACAGACUAGGUGGUUUAUACAACAAACUUUAUUUUCUCUCAGUUUUGGAGGCUGGAAGUCCAAGAUCGAAAUUCCCUAGUGUUACUUUCCAGUAAGACCUUGCUCUUUCUGGCUUUCAGAUGGCUGUUUUCACAUUGUUUUCAUUUGUGUGUACAGAGAGAGAGAGAGAGAUCCUUGAUCUCUGGUGUUUCUGCCCCUUCUUAUAAGAAUACCAGACCUAUUGGAUCAAGACUUCACUCUUAUAAUCUCAUUUAAGCUCAGUUACCUCCUUAAUGGCCCUAUCUCCAAAUACAGUCACAUUGGGGGUUAAGACUUUAACAUGAAUUUGGGGUAGGAAGGACACAUUUCAGCCUAUAACAUUCUGGAUGGGAGCAUCAUGACUGUUGUGAUAGGUGCUUCCUGGCAUUAUGCUAAAAUAUGGACAUGCUGCUUUCCUCACUGCAACAUUCCUUUUUUAAUCAAAGUAAAAACUUUUCUAGAAAACAGAAAGCUGCACCCACCUUCCCCUCCAGAAGGAAACCAAGUUAUCAACUAUCUACAGAGAAAAAACACCUCCAUAAGAACUAAAUAUUAGGUGAGCACUCACUGUAUCUGGUGUUAACUUCAUAUCACAGAAAGGCACUGAAGAGAUAGAAAAAACAGUCCUGAAUCACAGACGCUACCCCUCCCCUACCACAGGUAGGGGAGACAUAGUGUGGAGAGUAUCUUUGGGUGCUGGAGAAGAAAGAACACAGCAAUUGUGAGGCAUCAAACUCCGUGCUGUUCUGCUAGAGCAGAAAGGAAAACCAGACCAAACUCAGCUGAUGCCCAUCCACAGAAGGAGCAUUUAAGCCAGCCCUAGCCAGAAGGAAAUCCCUGAUUCCAGUCGGCAGAACUUGAGUGCACGCAAAUCUUGCCACUGAGGGCCAAAGUGCUCUCAGUCUCUAAGUAAAUUUGACAGGCAAUGUAGGCCAUAAGCACUGUAACUCUUAGGUGAGUCCCAGGGCUAAACAAGGACCAGGGACAGUGGACUAGGGAGGCAAAUGGCAUUCUGAAAUACCAGAUGGGGCAGCCAAUGUAGUUCUGGCAUCACUCAUCCCCUAACCCAACGCUUCACAGCUCACGGCUCCAAAAAAGGCCCCUUCCUUCCACUUAAGGAGAGGAGAGGGAAGAGUGGGGAGGAAUUUGUCUGGUAUCUUGGAUACCAGCUCAGCCACAGCAGGAUAGGCACCUGUCAGACUCACAAGUUCCUGAUUCCAAAUCCUAGCUCCCAGACAACAUUUCUAGACACACCCUGGGCCAGAAAGGAACCCAUUGCCUUAAAAGGAAGAACCCAGCAUUCUGCCAGCAUUCAUCACCUGCUAACUGGAGAGCCUUUGGGCCCUGAAUAACCAGCAGCAAUACCCAGGUACUACACAGAGGGCCUUGGUAAGCCUCUGAGACAUGCAGGAUUCAGGUGAGACUCAGCACCCUACCAGCUGUCGGGGCUAUAGAGCAAAAUUCCUUCUGCAUCAAAAAAGCAGAGAGAAAAGUAAAGGGGACUUUAUCAUGCACCUUAGAUACCAACACCACCACAGGAAGACAGAGCACCAAGUGGGGUGCCUGAUUCCAGGACUUGACUCUUGGACACUAUUUCCAGACCUGCACUGGGCCAGAGAGGAGCCCACUACCCUGAAGAGUGAGUCCCAAGCCAGACAACAUUUAGCACAAGCUGACUUAAGAGACCUUGAGCCUUAAGAAAAUGUCAUUGGUAGACUGGCAGCACACCUCAUGGCCAGGGGUGGCAGUGGCUACAAAAUGAGGCAUCUCUGCUUUUGGAAACAGGAGGGAUGAGUGGAAAGGACUAUAUCUUAUGGUUUGAAUGCCAGCUCAGCUGCAACAAAAUGGAACACCAGGUAGACUUCUAAGGUUUUGACUCUAGACCCUGACUCCCAGACAGCACUUCUGGACCCACCCAGGGCCUGGGGGACCUUGUCAUCCUGAAGGGAAGGACAUAGGCCUGGAUGGCUUUGCCACCUGCUGAAUGUACAGCCCCAGGGCCUCGAGCAAACAUAGGCUGUAGCCAGGGAGUGAUUACUGCAGGCCUUGGGCAAGACCCAGUGCUGUGAUAGCUUAAGGUCUGACCCAGCAGAGUCACAGUGGUGGUGAACUCAAGGGUGGUUGUGCCAUUCCACCCCCAGCUUUAGGUGGCUCAGAACAGAGAGAGAGACCCUGUAUGUUUUGAAGAAAGUAAGAGAAGAGAACAAAGGUUUCUGCCUGGUAAUCCAGAUAAUUCUCCUGGAUCUUGUCCAAGACCAUGAAGGUGGUACCUCUGUGAGCCACAAGAACCACAGCACUGGGCUUAGGGUGCCUGCUAAAGCAGAAAUAGCUUAAAUCACAAUACCAAGUUAUUUCAAAUAUCUGGAAAGCCUUCCCAAGAAGGAUGGCUACAAAUAAGACCAGAGAGUGAAGACUAGAAUAAAUACCUAACUCUUCAAUGCACAGAUACCAAAGAACAUCUACUAGCAUCAACACCAUCCAGGAAAACAUGACCUCAUCAAAUGAACUAAAUAAGCCACCAGAGACGAAUCCUGGAGAAACAGAUAUGUGAGCUUUCAGACAGAGAAUUCAAAACAGAUGUGUUAAGGAAACAAAAAAUUUCAAAGGCAACACAGAGAAGGAAUUCAGAAUUUAUAAUUAAAAUUAAAAAGAAUCAAGUAGAAAUUUUUGAGCUGGAAAAUGCAAUUGGCAUACUGAAGAAUGCAUCAUAGUCCUUUAGUAGCAGAAUGCACCAAGCAGAAGAAAUAAUUAGUAAGCUUGGAGAAAGGCUAUUUGAAAAUACACAGAGAAGACAAAAGAAAAAGUAAUGAGAAACAAUGAAGCACACUUACAGAAGCUAUAAAAUAAACUCGAAAGGGCAAAUCUAAAAGAUAUUGGCCUAUAAGAAGAGGUAGAGGAAGAUAUAGGGUUAGAAAAUUUAUUCAAAAGCAUAGUAACAGAGAUCUUUCCAAACCCAGAAAAAGAUAUCAAUAUCCAAGUACAAGAAAAUUAUAGAACACCAAGAAGAUAUCUCAAAGCAUUUAAUAAUCAAACUCCCAAAGGUCAAGAAUAAAGAAAGGAUUCUAAAAGCAGCAAGAGAAAAGAAACAAAUGACACACAAUGGAGCUUCAAUACACCUGGCAGCAGGCUUUUCUGUGCAAACAUUACAGGCCAGGAGAAAAAGGCAUGACAUGUUUAAACUGCCAAAAGGAAAAAAAUAAAAUUUUACCCUAGAAUUGUAUAACUGGCAAAAAUGUCCUUCAGACACAAAGGAGAAAUAAAGACUUUCCCAGACAAACAAAAGCUAAGGGAUCUCAUCAAUACCAGAGCAGUCCUACAAGAAGUGCUAAAGAAAGUACAUCAAUCAGAAAGAAAAGUACAUUGAUGAGUAAUAAAUAAUCACCUGAAGGUACAAAACUUACUGGUAAUAGUAAGUACAGAGAAAAAUAAAGAAUACUAUAACACUGUAAUUGUGGUAUAUAAAUUACUCUUAUCCUAAGUAGAAAGACUUAAGGAAAAACCAGUCAAAAAUAAUGAAUACAACUUUUCAAGACACAGUCAGAACAAUAAGACACAAGUAGGAAUAACAAAAAGGUAAAAAGCAGGGAGAUGAGGUUAAGAAGAGUUUUUAUUUUUUUCUUUUUGCUUGCUUACUUACUUGUUUGUUUAUGCAAACAGUGUUAAGUUUUUAUCAAGUUAAAAUAAUGGGCUAUAAAAUAUUAUUUUCAGGACUCGCAGUAACUUCAAACCAAAUAAUAUACAAUAGAUACACAAAAAUAAAAAGAAAGAAACUAAAUAAUAUUACCAGAGAAAAUCAUCUUCAUUAAAACAAUGGAAGGAAGGAAAGAAAAAAGUAAGAGAAGGCCACAAAGCAACCAGAAAACACAUAACAAAGUGGCAUGAGUAAGUUCUUAUUAACAAUAAUAGUAUUCAAUGUAAAAAACUAAAUUCUCUAAUCAAAAGACAUACACUGGCUGAAUAAAUGAAAAAACAAGACCCAUUGAUCUAUUGCCUACAAGAAACACACUUCACCUAUGAAGACCCACAUAGACUGAAAAUAAAGAAAUAGAAAAAGAUAGUCCAUGCCAAUGGAAAGCAAAAAUGGGCAGGAGUCACGGUAUUUAUAUCAGACAAAAUAAAUUCCAAGACAAAAACUAUAAGAGGAGACAAACAAGGUCACUAUACAAUGAUAAAGGGGUCAGUUCAGUAAGAGGACAUAAAAAUUUUAAUAUAUAUCCACUCAACACUGAAGCACCCAGAUAUAAAAAGGAAAUAUUAGAGCCAAACAGAGAGGCCCCAAUACAUUAAUAGCUGGGGACCUUGACACUCUACUUUCAGCAUUGCACAGAUCUUCCAGACAAAGAAUCAACACAGAAACAUCAGAUUUGGUCUGCAAUACAAACCAAAUGGGACUAAUACAUGUUUACAAAACAUUUCAUCCAGUGGUUGCAGAAUACACAUUCUUUUCCUCAGCACAUGGAUCAUUCUCAAGGACAGAGCAUAUGUCAGGUCACAAAACAAAUCCUAAAACAUUCAAAGCAUUGAAAUAAUAUCAAGCAUCUUCUCUGCUUACAAUGGAAUAAAACUAGAGAUCAGUAACAAGAGGAAUUUUAGAAACGAUGCAAAUACAUGGAAAUUAAACAAUAUGCUCCUUAACGACCAGUGGAUCAAUGAAGAAAUUAUGAAGAAAAUUGAAAACAGAGAUAUAGAUCAAUGGAACAGAACAGAGCCCUCAGAAACAAUGCCGCAUAUCUACAACUAUCUGAUCUUUGACAAACCUGACAAAAACAAGC